GAUGAACGCUAGCGACAGGCUUAACACAUGCAAGUCGAGGGGCAGCGGGGUAGUGCUUGCACUACUGCCGGCGACCGGCGCACGGGUGAGUAACACGUAUGGAACCUGCCCGCAGCAGGGGGAUAAGCGGAAGAAAUUCCGUCUAAUACCGCGUAACAACGUUGGGAGGCAUCUCCCGAUGUUUAAAGAUUUAUCGGCUGCGGAUGGCCAUGCGGCGCAUUAGCUAGUCGGCGGGGUAACGGCCCACCGAGGCGACGAUGCGUAGGGGUUCUGAGAGGAAGGUCCCCCACACUGGUACUGAGACACGGACCAGACUCCUACGGGAGGCAGCAGUGAGGAAUAUUGGUCAAUGGCCGAGAGGCUGAACCAGCCAAGUCGCGUGAGGGAUGACGGCCCUACGGGUUGUAAACCUCUUUUGUCGGGGAGCAAAGGGAGUCACGUGUGACUCAUUGAGAGUACCCGAAGAAAAAGCAUCGGCUAACUCCGUGCCAGCAGCCGCGGUAAUACGGAGGAUGCGAGCGUUAUCCGGAUUUAUUGGGUUUAAAGGGUGCGCAGGCGGAGGUGCAAGUCAGCGGUCAAAUUGCGGGGCUCAACCCCGUACUGCCGUUGAAACUGCAUCCCUUGAGUGCACGAGAAGUAUGCGGAAUGCGUGGUGUAGCGGUGAAAUGCAUAGAUAUCACGCAGAACUCCGAUUGCGAAGGCAGCAUACCGGCGCGCAACUUGACGCUCAUGCACGAAAGCGUGGGUAUCGAACAGGAUUAGAUACCCUGGUAGUCCACGCAGUAAACGAUGAACACUAACUGUUCGGCCAGAAUGAUGGCUGAGUGGUACAGCGAAAAGCGUUAAGUGUUCCACCUGGGGAGUACGCCGGCAACGGUGAAACUCAAAGGAAUUGACGGGGGCCCGCACAAGCGGAGGAACAUGUGGUUUAAUUCGAUGAUACGCGAGGAACCUUACCCGGGCUCAAACGACACAGGAAUACUUUUGAAAGGAGGUAGCCCUACGGGGUCUGUGUCGAGGUGCUGCAUGGUUGUCGUCAGCUCGUGCCGUGAGGUGUCGGCUUAAGUGCCAUAACGAGCGCAACCCCUAUCGCCAGUUGCCAUCAAGUAAAGUUGGGGACUCUGGCGAGACUGCCGGCGCAAGCUGUGAGGAAGGCGGGGAUGACGUCAAAUCAGCACGGCCCUUACGUCCGGGGCGACACACGUGUUACAAUGGCAGGUACAGAGAGAAGCCAGGUGGCGACACCGAGCGGAACUCGAAAGCCUGUCUCAGUUCGGAUCGGAGUCUGCAACCCGACUCCGUGAAGCUGGAUUCGCUAGUAAUCGCGCAUCAGCCAUGGCGCGGUGAAUACGUUCCCGGGCCU
rnacentral:rRNA from 1 species